CGUCUAUAUACGUAUAGCAUAUCAAUAAGCGGAGGAAAAGAAACUAACUAGGAUUCCCUCAGUAACGGCGAGUGAAGCGGGAAGAGCCCAAAUUUGAAAUCUUCAAGGUUCUACCUUGACGAAUUGUAGUUUAAAGAAGUGUUUUCUGUUGGAGUUUUGGUAAAAGUUCUUUGGAAUAGGACAUCAUAGAGGGUGAGAAUCCCGUAUUUGACCAUUAUUUCCAACUUUGUGAUACACUUUCAAAGAGUCGGAUUGUUUGGGAAUGCAGUCCAAAAUGGGUGGUAAAUUUCAUCUAAAGCUAAAUACUGGCGAGAGACCGAUAGCGAACAAGUACCGUGAGGGAAAGAUGAAAAGAACUUUGAAAAGAGAGUUAAACAGUACGUGAAAUUGUCAAAAGGGAAGCGUUUGACACCAGUGUUGUUUUCUCGAAAAUCAAUUAAAAAUGGCUGGAUUUUGUGUUGUAUUGACCUUUAUCAAGCUUUCUUCACUUUUUUCCUAUCUUUUUUAAUGCACUUUUCGUUUAACAAGUCAACAUCAAUUUCUUUUGUUGUAAAAGGGUCAUUGGAAGGUGGCUUUCUUUUCGGAGAAAGUGUUUAUAGCCUUUGACUUCUGCAAUCGGAGAGAUUGAGGUCUGCAGCGUAGAUCCUUCGGGGUUAGAUGCAUUUGUGCUAAGUUAUAGCCUUUCAUAGACAACUUGUUGACUAUGAUCAGUCAUGUAGCUUACUCGCUUAUGUUAUUUUACCUACGCUUAGGAUGUUGACGAUCAGCUGAGCGC
rnacentral:rRNA from 1 species